rnacentral:rRNA from 1 species
CACGUAGGGGGCAAGCGUUGUCCGGAUUUAUUGGGCGUAAAGAGCUCGUAGGCGGCUCGAUAAGUCGGGUGUCAAAUCCUCAGGCUCAACCUGGGGCACCACCCGAUACUGUCGUGGCUAGAGUCCGGUAGGGGAGCGUGGAAUUCCUGGUGUAGCGGUGAAAUGCGCAGAUAUCAGGAGGAACACCAGCGGCGAAGGCGGCGCUCUGGGCCGGAACUGACGCUGAGGAGCGAAAGCGUGGGUAGCAAACAGGAUUAGAAACCCCCGUAGUCC